AUUUUGAACAGAGAAGGACCUGAACUGAGAGGAGAUUUGUGAGAUUUCACUACUUUUAUCAUCACUGCAUUUUCACUGCUAAUAAGUUGAACAUAAUGGUUCAAAAGGCGAUGGUCUUUCUCUUCAUGCUGAUUGGAUGGUCACAGACUUUUCCGUACCACAAUGUCCCCACUGAGGAUAAAGUAAUGAAAGAUGCUGACAAGAUAGAGAGAGAAAGAAGAGAUGUUAUGCAGAGUGGUACUGAUUUUACUCCUCCAGUGUGCCGUGUGGUAAAUGAGAGUUUGGACUGUUCUUCGCCAAGCGGAAAUGAAACCUGGGAAGUGAAUUAUAUCAUGUCAGAUGGUGCUGGUUCAGGAAUUGAUACCCCACUUUUUUCUGUUGACAUUGACUGCUGUGAAGGCAACAUUACCUUUUUUAAUAUUUUAAAUGUGACUGUAGAUGAAAAUGGCUACAAUGCAACCACUGUGAAAUAUACUGGUCCUUGCUGUUUGAUUAAUGUGGAGAUUUCUGUGGUGGACAAGGCAGGAAACAAGGCAAAGUGCCCUUUUAAUAUCAAACAACCUGUGACAAAUUGCAAACACCCUUUGACCACAAUCAGCCCAAUGACGGUCAGUCCCACGUCCAGCAGCUUCACCACAACCAUCUCUCUUUGGUCAAGUUUAAUACCGAUGGCACUUAAAUCUAUGUUGCUUUAACAUAAAUAUGCACUUUCUGUAAAUAUGCCC
ensembl:lncRNA